GAUGAAGAACGUAGCGAAAUGCGAUAAGUAAUGUGAAUUGCAGAAUUCAGUCAAUCAUCGAAUCUUUGAACGCACAUUGCGCCCGCCAGUAUUCUGGCGGGCAUGCCUGUUCGAGCGUCAUUACAACCCUCAGGCCCCCGGGCCUGGCGUUGGGGAUCGGCGGAAGCCCCCUGCGGGCACAACGCCGUCCCCCAAAUACAGUGGCGGUCCCGCCGCAGCUUCCAUUGCGUAGUAGCUAACACCUCGCAACUGGAGAGCGGCGCGGCCACGCCGUAAAACACCCAACUUCUGAAUGUUGACCUCGAAUCAGGUAGGAAUACCCGCUGAACUUAAGCAUAUCAAUAAGCGGAGGA
rnacentral:misc_RNA from 1 species